rnacentral:lncRNA from 1 species
UGAAAGCAGACUGCACAAGUAACUUUGUCUAGUGUCUGGACUCUUGGUAAGCCCUUCUCAAAUGCCUUUAACCUUGAGGAGCUCGCACUCUGAUAGAAGUGCUGCUGGUGGCAGUGCCUGAUAACAGAGAGCUGAGCAAGCCAGUUGACCUCAGACAGUGAUGUUUAUUGCUGUUGAUUGAGCCCUGGUGCCUGGUUGACUCCCCAUUUGGAUCAGAGUGAAGGAAGCAACACUUCUCUAGACCUGCUUCUUUCAUCUGAAGGUUGAAAGUCAUCCCCAAGAUGUCUCAUGGCCCAGAUGUCAGGGUUCCUCAAGGUCAGCCUGACUCAGACAAAGUGAGAACUUCAGGGAAACCAGGGAAGUUCUCUUCCUCUCCAAAUCUUCCCUCACCUGCUUGUUGUUGGCUGCCUUAUCCCUGGCCAGUGCCUUCUACUCUGGUGGUGGUGGUCUUGUUGUUUUUGAGACAAGGUCUUGCUCUGUCACCUAGGCUGGAGCACAGUGACGCAGUCAUGGCUCACUGCAGCCUUGAUCUCCUGGCCUCAAGUGAUCCUUCCGCCUCAGCCUCUUGAUUAGCUGGGACUAUAGGCACAUGCCACCAUGUCCAGCUAAUUUUUAUUUUUUAUUUUUUGUAGAAACAGGGUCUCCCUGUGUUGCCUAGGCUCUUCCACUCUGCUUUGGAGCAGAGACACCUGACAGUGAAGGACCAAAUGGCUUCCAUAUACAUCAGGGGUGAAGUGACUGACAGUGGCCCUUGCCUGGGAGAGGCUGAAUAUACAAACAGACAAUGGCUAGACCAUGUAGAAAAACAGAACUCUGACGCACAAUAGCAGCAACCAGCACAGGAAGCCAGCCUACUAUCCACAAGUCAGACUUGUAGGAAGUCAGACCACUAUCUUUACCAACCAGUCCAGCAAGCCAAAUAAUGACCACUGUAACAAUUGGCCUCCAAAGCCAGGACUUGAUUAAUAACUGAUAGCUGCCCUAAUUUUUGCCCCUGCUUCCAACUUAGGACCAACCGGAGAAAGCCAAAUAUGUACUCCUAACCAAUCACAUAGGAUGUCCCACUCUUUUUUGAGACAGAGUUUCACUCUUGUUCCCCAGGCUGGAGUGCAGUGGUGCAAUUUCGGCUCACUGCAGCCUCCACCUCCCAGGUUCAAGCAGUUCUCCUGCCAUAGCCUCCACCUCCCAGCUUCAAGCAAUUCUCCUGCUGCAGCCUCCCGAGUAGCU